rnacentral:antisense_RNA from 14 species
GAUAGCCAAAAAUUACAGCUGGAUUUAAAGUAGGAUUACUAAUAAAACGUACAUCGCCACCACCUGGAGCCCAUGUAUCAUAUAUACCACCACUAAAUAAAGCUUUAAUAACAAGUAAAAAUGCGCCUAUACCUAGAAGUAUUAAAUGAAUACCUAAUAUAGUUGUCAUUUUAUUUUUAUCUCUCCA